rnacentral:rRNA from 1 species
AUGGCGAUGGCGGAGGCGGAAAGCAAUGGCUUCGAGUUCCUGUCGGAUCCCGUGAACAGAUUUCCACCGAUGGAUCUAUCCCACGACAACUCCCUGGAUUAUGACGAAGGCGCUGAAGUUCUUAUCCGUGCCCGAUCAGAUUCCAGCAUGCGCGACGCUGGGGAUGCAGCACUCACAGUGGUUGCCGAUCUGAACAGUACUUGCGAAGCCAUCGCCCUGACGGUGGCACCUUCAGAGACGUCAACAGGGAGGGACGAUCCUCACGCGCCUGGAUGGACAAGAAGAGUCCGUGUUGGUAGAGCGCCAACGGAACGCCCCCCCUGCGCCGGCAGGACAACUGGAAAUGAGAAGACACCAACCGUCAUAGUACCUGUAGUGGGAAGCACAUUUGAUUACUACAAUCUCUAUUCCUGGGAGACUGGAUUUGAAAUAAGUUAUGGCAAGAGCAGGCUUAAUGUGGAAUGGAUAGAACAAAAUGCAUGCAGGAGAUAG